rnacentral:tRNA from 1 species
UUAAGAGUCUACGGCAAAUUUAGGAGCUUCUAACUCUUAAUAGGGGGUUCAACUCCUCCAUACU